rnacentral:tRNA from 1 species
GGGCGUAUAGCUCAGUUGGUUAGAGCGCACGCUUCACACGCGUGAGGUCAGAGGUUCGAGUCCUCUUACGCCCACCA